rnacentral:rRNA from 1 species
GAUGAACGCUGGCGGCGUGCCUAAUACAUGCAAGUCGAGCGAACAGACGAGGAGCUUGCUCCUCUGACGUUAGCGGCGGACGGGUGAGUAACACGUGGAUAACCUACCUAUAAGACUGGGAUAGCUUCGGGAAACCGGAGCUAAUACCGGAUAAUAUAUUGAACCGCAUGGUUCAAUAGUGAAAGACGGUUUUGCUGUCACUUAUAGAUGGAUCCGCGCCGCAUUAGCUAGUUGGUAAGGUAACGGCUUACCAAGGCAACGAUGCGUAGCCGACCUGAGAGGGUGAUCGGCCACACUGGAACUGAGACACGGUCCAGACUCCUACGGGAGGCAGCAGUAGGGAAUCUUCCGCAAUGGGCGAAAGCCUGACGGAGCAACGCCGCGUGAAUGAUGAAGGUCUUCGGAUCGUAAAACUCUGUUAUUAGGGAAGAACAAAUGUGUAAGUAACUAUGCACGUCUUGACGGUACCUAAUCAGAAAGCCACGGCUAACUACGUG